GUCCACGCCGUAAACGAUGUGUGCUAGCUGCUGGGCAGUUUACUGUUCGGUGGCGCAGCUAACGCUUUAAGCACACCGCCUGGGGAGUACGGUCGCAAGAUUAAAACUCAAAGGAAUUGACGGGGACCCGCACAAGCGGUGGAGCAUGUGGUUUAAUUCGACGCAACGCGAAGAACCUUACCAGGCCUUGACAUCCCGAUUGCGGAAUUCAGAGAUGAGUUCCUUCAUUUAGUUGGAUCGGUGACAGGUGCUGCAUGGCUGUCGU
rnacentral:rRNA from 1 species